rnacentral:rRNA from 1 species
UACAGAGGGGGCAAGCGUUGUUCGGAAUUACUGGGCGUAAAGGGCCAGUAGGCGGCCAACUAAGUCCGACGUGAAAUCCCUCAGCUUAACUGGGGAACUGCGUCUGAUACUGGAUGGCUUGAGAUUGGGAGAGGGAUGCGGAAUUCCAGGUGUAGCGGUGAAAUGCGUAGAUAUCUGGAGGAACACCGGUGGCGAAGGCGGCAUCCUGGACCAACACUGACACUGAGGAGCGAAAGCCAGGGGAGCAAACGGG